UACGGAGGGUGCAAGCGUUAAUCGGAAUCACUGGGCGUAAAGCGCGUGUAGGCUGAUCAGGAAGUCAGGUGUGAAAUCCCUGGGCUCAACCUAGGAACUGCAUCUGAAACUCCUGGUCUAGAGUGUCGGAGAGGGAAGCGGAAUUCCGGGUGUAGAGGUGAAAUUCGUAGAUAUCCGGAGGAACACCGGUGGCGAAGGCGGCUUCCUGGACGACUACUGACGAUGAGACGCGAAAGCGUGGGGAGCAAACAGG
rnacentral:misc_RNA from 1 species